rnacentral:tRNA from 1 species
CCUGUCAUCGUCUAGUGGUUAGGACACCAGGUUUUGACCUGUGCCCUGGGUUUGGCCCUCAGCGACAUCCUGGUAACUUGGGUUCGACUCCCAAUGACAGGU